UGGAAUGCCCAGAUAUCUGCGAGGAACACCAGUGCUGAAAGCGGCCUCAUGGACCAUUCCUGACGACUAAGACGCGAAAGCUAGGGUAGCAAACGGGAUUAGAGACCCCGGUAGUCCUAGCCCUGAACGAUGUAGACUGGACGUCGGUGGUGUAAUAGCUGCUCGGUGUCCAAGCUAACGCGAUAAGUCUACCGCCUGGGGACUACGGCCGCAAGGUUAAAACUCAAAGGAAUUGACGGGUCCCCGCACAAGCAGCGGAGCGUGUGGUUUAAUUCAGUUGCCUACACGAAGAACCUUACCUGGGUUUGACAUAGCAGUGGUAGGGAAGAGAAAUCGGACCGACCCUUCGGGGACCUGUUACAGGUGUUGCAUGGCUGUCGUCAGCUCGUGUCGCGAGAUGUUCGGUUAAGUCCGCUAACGAGCGCAACCCGCGUUGUGUGUUAUAUGUGUCACACAAUACCGCCGGUAUUAAGCCGGAGGAAGGUGCGGAUGACGUCAAGUCAGCAUGACCUUUAUAUCCAGGGCUACACACACGCUACAAUGGUCAGUACAACAGGUUGCCAAGCCGCGAGGCGGAGCCAAUCCUCUAAAGCUGACCUCAGUUCAGAUUGCAGGCUGCAACCCGCCUGCAUGAAGUUGGAGUUGCUAGUAACCGCAGGUCAGCUAUACUGCGGUGAAUACGUUCCCGGGGAUUGCACACACCGCCCGU
rnacentral:rRNA from 1 species